rnacentral:rRNA from 1 species
AACGAACGCUGGCGGCAUGCCUAACACAUGCAAGUCGAACGAGACCUUCGGGUCUAGUGGCGCACGGGUGCGUAACGCGUGGGAAUCUGCCCUUGGGUUCGGAAUAACAGUUAGAAAUGACUGCUAAUACCGGAUGAUGACGUAAGUCCAAAGAUUUAUCGCCCAAGGAUGAGCCCGCGUAGGAUUAGCUUGUUGGUGAGGUAAAAGCUCACCAAGGCGACGAUCCUUAGCUGGUCUGAGAGGAUGAUCAGCCACACUGGGACUGAGACACGGCCCAGACUCCUACGGGAGGCAGCAGUGGGGAAUAUUGGACAAUGGGCGAAAGCCUGAUCCAGCAAUGCCGCGUGAGUGAUGAAGGCCUUAGGGUUGUAAAGCUCUUUUACCCGGGAUGAUAAUGACAGUACCGGGAGAAUAAGCCCCGGCUAACUCCGUGCCAGCCGCCGCCGUAA